AUGGGGGAUAAUGGGAAAAAAAGGAGGAAAAUUGAGAGUGAGGAAGAGGAGGAGGAAGAAAGGAGCAAAAAUGGGGUGGAAAAAGGAAAAAUUGGUGAAAACAAAAAAAAUUCUGGGGAAAAUGGGGAGAAAAAGAGGGAAAAUGAGAGUGAGGAGGAAGAGGAGAGGGGGGAAAUUGGGGUGGAAAAAGGAAAAAAUGAGGAAAAAUCCAAAAUUUCCAGGGAAAAUGGGGAGAAAAAGGGGAAAAUGGAGAGUGAGGAAGAGGAGGAGGGUGAAGAAAGGAAAAAUGAGGGGGAAAAGGGGGAAAAUGAGGAAAAAAUGGGGAAAAAAAUAUGGAAAAUUGAAAGUGAGGAAGAGGAGGAGGAGGAAAGGAGGAAAAAUGGGGCAGAAAAAGGAAAAAAUGAGGAAAACCCCCAAAAUUCUGGGAAAAAUGGGGAGGAAAAGGAGGAAAAAAUGGGGGAAAAUGGGGCAAAAAAGAGGAAAAUUGAAAGUGAGGAAGAGGAGGAGGAAGAGGAGGAGGAGAGGAAGAAAUUUGGGGGGGAAAUGGUGAAAAAUGGGGCAAAAAAGAGGAAAAUUGAAAGUGAGGAAGAGGAGGAGGAAGAGGAGAGAAUAAAAAUUGGGGUGAAAAGGGGAAAAAUGGGGGAAAAAACAAAAAAUUCUGGGAAAAAUCGGGUGAAAACGGGGAAAAUCGAGAGUGAGGAGGAGGAAGAUGAAGAGGAAGAAGAGAGGAAGAAAAUUGGGGUGAAAAGGGGAAAAAUUGGGGAAAAAUCGGCGAAAUCUGGGAAAAAUGAGGAGAAAAAUGGAGGAAAAUGGGAAAAAAUUGGGGGGAAAAGGAGGAAAAUUGAGAGUGAGGAGGAGGAGGAAGAUAAGGGGGAGGAAGAGGAAGAGCAAGAACAAAAAAAUAGGGAAAAAAUGGGGAAAAUCGGAGAAAAAAGUCAAAAAAUGACCAAAAAAUUGGCCAAAACAUGGAAAUUUGAGAGUGAGGAAGAGGAGGAGGAGGAUGAAGAUGAGGAGGAAGAUCCAGGCGGGAAAAACAGGAAAAAAACCGGAAAAAUUGAGGAAAAAAGUCAAAAAAUGAACAAAAAUGAGGCCAAAAAAUCAAAAUUUGAGAGCGAGGAAGAGGAGGAUGAAGAUGAGGAAGAGGAGGAGGAAGAUGAAGAUCCACGCAGCAAAAAUAGGAAAAAAACGGGGAAGAUUGAGGAAAAAAAUCAAAAAAUUAUGAAAAAAGGGGCCAGAAAAUGGAAAUUUGAGAGUGAGGAAGAGGAGGAUGAAGAGGAGGAGGAUGAUGAAGACGAGGAGGAAGAUGAAGAGGAGGAAGAUGAAGAUGCCAGAGGGAAAACCAGGAAAAAAUCGGGAAAAAUUGAGGAAAAAAGACCAAAAUUGACCAAAAAAUUGGACAAAAAAUCGAAAUUUGACAGCGAGGAAGAGGAGGAUGAAGAGGAGGAGGAAGAAGAGGAAGAAGAGGAAGAUCCAAGAGGGAAAACCAGGAAAAAAUUGGGAAAAAUUGAGGAAAAAAGGCCAAAAUUGACCAAAAAAUUGGACAAAAAAUCGAAAUUUGACAGCGAGGAAGAGGAGGAUGAAGAUGAGGAUGAUGAUGAAGAUGAGGAGGAAGAAGACGAAGAUCCAGGCAGGAAAACCAGGGAAAAAUCAGGAAAAAUUGAGGAAAAAAGGCCAAAAAUGGACAAAAAAUUGGCCAAAAAGUCGAAAUUCGACAGCGAGGAAGAGGAGGAUGAAGAGGAGGAUGAAGAU
rnacentral:lncRNA from 1 species